rnacentral:rRNA from 1 species
AUUGAACGCUGGCGGCAUGCCUUACACAUGCAAGUCGAGCGGCAGCGCGGGGCAACCCUGGCGGCGAGCGGCGAACGGGUGAGUAAUACAUCGGAACGUGUCCUCUUGUGGGGGAUAACCAGCCGAAAGGUUGGCUAAUACCGCAUGAGCUCGAGAGAGGAAAGCGGGGACCGCAAGGCCUCGCGCGAGAGGAGCGGCCAAUGCCGGAUUAGCUAGUUGGUGGGGUAAUGGCCCACCAAGGCGACGAUCCGUAGCUGGUCUGAGAGGACGACCAGCCACACUGGGACCUGAGACACGGGCCCCAGACUCCUACGGGAGGCAGCAGUGGGGAAUUUUGGGACAAUGGGCGCAAGCCUGAUCCAGCCAUGCCGCGUGUGCGAAGAA